ensembl:lncRNA LINC01505 long intergenic non-protein coding RNA 1505
CAGGUAAUGGAGCAGAGACUGGAGCAGAGACAAGUUGUUCCCACUGAGCUCUCCUCAGAUUACAGAUUGAGAAUAUAUUUUGCCAAGGGUAAGGACUCAUGCCUGGGAGGGAGUGGCAAAUCAAAGGCAUUGCAGCCUCUUUCAUCACUGCCGAUUGCUGAUGCCAACCAUGUGCCAAGUGCUUAAUACGUCACCUUAAAUCUUCUCAUCCACCCUCAGAGUAGCUGCAGCAUCAACCCAGUGCCCUGACUUUCAAGACGACUAUGAAAACACCCCAACUGCUGCUAAAUUACCAGCAACAAGGAUCUGACAUUCUUAUUCAAAAGAAAGAACACCGAAAUUGACCUUACCCUGACAAUAUGAUGGCUGAAGGAUUUAUGAUCACUUAUAACAUUUGAAAUUGAGGCGGAACCUGAAGAAUAAGACUCUGGUGAAAGGUCCUAUUUAUGCUUUUGAUGUCUUUCACUUGGACAUUUACCACAUGCCUAUUGGUAGGUUUGUUACAUAGGUCAGUUAAGGUGAUACAAGAAUAAAUAAAACACUAUCCCUAUCCUUUAAUAUCAUUUAUUUAUGGGGUCAAUCACAGAUUUUCAUUUUUCAAAAUCUUUGAUAAAUGUCAGAAUUAUGUUUUUUAAUAUUUUUACAGAAUUAUUACAAUAUAUGGUAGAGGAUGGAAGGCAAGGUAGUAUGAAACGGAAAAGAUAUUUUGAAUUAAGGUAUUUGGACCUGGAUUAAUAUUUUUGCUUUGGUCUUUAUUAGCUGAGUGACCUUGAGAAAGUUCUUCUACUAAAAAAGAACAAAGAUAAUAAUUACUUCAUGAAAUUGCUGUAAAAAACACAUAACAAGUAUAUCCAGACUCAACAGUGUAUGCUCAAAAAUGCAGAUCCUUUUUCCCUUACCUGCAAAUAAAGUCUUACAGUAAUACAGUGGGGGUAAAGGUUUAAACUGGUGGAUUCAAGAAGGGCUAUAGAAAGAGGUAGCAUCUUAAUAGGGGAAGGAGAGGAUCCAAGAAAUCAGAUCCAUUUUCUACAAAAAGAAAUGGGAAGACAGAUAAUUCAAGAAGAAAAGUUUACAUGAUUAAAGACCCGAAGUUAGAAAUAGUGAUGUGUCUCAAUAGUAAGUUAGGAAUUGGGGUGGACACAAUUGUUGGAAGAAGGAUGGUUUCAGCAAAGGCCCAAGUUAGGUGACAAUUUCAAGUGUUUGUGAAGAUAUAUGAACAAAAUUAUAAAGUAGUUAGGGUAUAAGAAAUAGGGAGGAGGGAAUGAAUUAACAUUUAUGGAGUGUCUUGCAUGUUCCAAGCACUGUACUACUUGCCUUAUAAACCUUUCUUCAAUAAACGCCUACAACAAUCCUGA